rnacentral:lncRNA from 1 species
CUGGCAAGGUGCAUUUAAUAUUUGGAAAAAAGAUAUGACCAGUAACCUACUUUAGGAAGAAAAUAAGCAUCACCUGGCAUCAGUGCUCACAUGUUCCACUUCAGCUGUGCCAAUAGGUGGUAGCAGAUUAUUUCGACUCAGGGGCGUCGGUGAGGGAGAGGAGAGCGAGUCGGGUGCCACUGGGCUGCAGAUCCCACCAACAAACACGAAGUUUUACCACGGUUUCCAGAAGUUCUGCUUUUGAAACCUACACUCGGGCUCCUCUGAGGAUUUCUUCCACAGAUCUUGGUGUUUCAGCACAUGAAUGGCUCGUGCUGAUCGGAUGAAGAGUUCGUGGUGGUGGAUUGCGUCUCCUGGUGGACUGCACUGUGUAUGACAGAGAUGAUGUACUAAACUCCACAGCUCGAUUUGGCCAAUUUCGAGUUGAAAGGAUGGUACUGGACCCAGGCCUCAUAAGUAGCUUGUCAUCAAGAUCUCUAGUAGCCAAAUCAGAAACCCACAAUGAAGUAAAGAUCAGUAUGUCAAGGAAGACA